CUCAACUCUCCCAGUUCUGACCCACAAUGGCGACUGCUUCAGUCUGGAGGAAACCGCCAUGGCUGCCAGGAUUGGAGCAAACAUGUUGCCAUUCGCCAGAUCCUUGUUCCGGAGUUGUUUUACAAAAGUAGGUGAGGAUAACAAGAAGGGGGAGAGACAGCUCGCUGGCAAGAGUCCAGCCACUCUUCUGAUACCCCGCACCUUUCCUGACGUUCUGAAGACUUCUGAACGACCUUGAGACUGACCGCACCAAACGAGCCCAUAUUGGGACUCUAUGAUCACAGCGGAAUGAAAUGAAAGGAUGACGAAAUUUAUUGGUUCCCAAAGGAAAGCAGAGGGUAAAAGUAAAUUCCAACUAUUUAAUGAAC
rnacentral:lncRNA from 1 species